UCUCUGAAAAUCCACAUCUCCUUCAGCUGCUGACAGAGGGAGUUUAGUCUGCACUGUUGCUCUAGGGCAGGAGGUGAAAAACAAACUCAGGGCUUGUCUACAUUACCCGCUGGAUCAACGGGCAGCGAUCUAUCCAGCAGGGGUUGAUUUAUCGUGUCGAGUCUAGACGCGAUAAAUCGACCGCUGAGUGCUUUCCCGUCGACUCUGAUACUCCACCAGGGCGAGAGGCGCAGGCGGAGUCAAUGGGUGAGCAUCAGCCAUCGACUUACCACAGUGAAGACACCAUGGUACCAUCCCCCAUCCCAGAGGUGGCUGAAAUUUAAGAGGUGGAUGAAAUAACUCCUGUAUUUAUUAUCACCAAUCAUCUUCCCCAGUGCUUCACCUAAACCUGUUCCAAGAGCUGGCCACGGGAGUAUUCACGGAUGCACAACCGCUUCGUAGUCAGAAAUUCUUUCCCAGAUGUUCUGUCUGACCUGGGGCAACUCAAUCAAAGUCUGUAAGGUUUCCAACAUUUCUA